GAUGAACGCUGGCGGCGUGCCUAAUACAUGCAAGUAGAACGCUGAAGCUUGGUGCUUGCACCGAGCGGAUGAGUUGCGAACGGGUGAGUAACGCGUAGGUAACCUGCCUCUUAGCGGGGGAUAACUAUUGGAAACGAUAGCUAAUACCGCAUAAAAGUCGACAUUGCAUGAUGUUGACUUGAAAGGUGCAAUUGCAUCACUAAGAGAUGGACCUGCGUUGUAUUAGCUAGUUGGUGAGGUAACGGCUCACCAAGGCAACGAUACAUAGCCGACCUGAGAGGGUGAUCGGCCACACUGGGACUGAGACACGGCCCAGACUCCUACGGGAGGCAGCAGUAGGGAAUCUUCGGCAAUGGGGGCAACCCUGACCGAGCAACGCCGCGUGAGUGAAGAAGGUUUUCGGAUCGUAAAGCUCUGUUGUAAGAGAAGAACGAGUGUAAGAGUGGAAAGUUCACACUGUGACGGUAACUUACCAGAAAGGGACGGCUAACUACGUGCCAGCAGCCGCGGUAAUACGUAGGUCCCGAGCGUUAUCCGGAUUUAUUGGGCGUAAAGCGAGCGCAGGCGGUUAGAUAAGUCUGAAGUUAAAGGCUGUGGCUUAACCAUAGUACGCUUUGGAAACUGUUUAACUUGAGUGCAGAAGGGGAGAGUGGAAUUCCAUGUGUAGCGGUGAAAUGCGUAGAUAUAUGGAGGAACACCGGUGGCGAAAGCGGCUCUCUGGUCUGUAACUGACGCUGAGGCUCGAAAGCGUGGGGAGCAAACAGG
rnacentral:rRNA from 1 species